rnacentral:rRNA from 1 species
ACGGAAGGCAGCAGUGAGGAAUAUUGGUCAAUGGGCGGAAGCCUGAACCAGCCAAGUCGCGUGAAGGAUGAAGGUAUUAUGUAUUGUAAACUUCUUUAGACGCAGAGAAAUAAGGGCCUCGUGAGGCUUGAUGCUAGUAUGCGUAGAAUAAGGAUCGGCUAAUUCCGUGCCAGCAGCCGCGGUAAUACGGAAGAUCCGAGCGUUAUCCGGAUUUAUUGGGUUUAAAGGGAGCGUAGGCGGGCCUUUAAGUCAGUGGUCAAAGCGUGUGGCUCAACCAUACCACGCCGUUGAUACUGGAGGCCUUGAGUGCACAUAAGGAUGGUGGAAUUCAUGGUGUAGCGGUGAAAUGCUUAGAUAUCAUGAAGAACUCCGAUUGCGAAGGCAGCUGUCCGGGGUGUAACUGACGCUAAUGCUCGAAAGUGCGGGUAUCAAACAGGAUUAGAUACCCUGGUA